rnacentral:rRNA from 1 species
UACAGAGGGUGCAAGCGUUAAUCGGAAUUACUGGGCGUAAAGCGUGCGUAGACGGUUGCGUAAGUCAGAUGUGAAAGCCCCGGGCUCAACCUGGGAAUUGCAUUUGAGACUGCGUAGCUAGGGUGCGGAAGAGGGAAGCGGAAUUUCCGGUGUAGCGGUGAAAUGCGCAGAUAUCAGGAGGAACACCGAUGGCGAAGGCAGCUCGCUGGGACGGUACUGACGCUGAGACGCGAAAGCGUGGGGAGCGAACAGG